rnacentral:lncRNA from 1 species
UUUAUUAGUAAAGAAUAAAUAAAUUAAGAGGGACAUUUCAGGGAUGUCCCAACCCUUAUACAAUACCCAUACGCCCCAUGUGGUAAACCACAUGUAGUUUAAGGCUUCCAAACCUGAGAAGGUUGUACAUUACAACAAAUUCCUACUCACCUGGGGUUUACCCCAGUUUCAAAAAAUAGAGAACUACAUUAAUAAAGUGGUACUAGUCUCAUCCAGCUAGAAUGCGUUAUCUCACGGAACUAUAAAACAGCAAGAACAGUUACAGUGUUGCUGCCCCAUGUAUGAAAAACCUGCAUUGUUCGGCAAAACUCAUGGUAUUUUCCCCAUCCAAGGUCACAGAGGGUUUAAUCCUUAUUAAAACCACACUCCUGCAUCACCUAAAACUCGUCUGCAGCUCCAACUUGUUCUGCGUCUGCUCAUCUUCCAUAUGCGUACAUCACCCUAUUCCAUAAAACCACUUUAUAGCUCCAAAUGGUUUACCACUGUAUCCAGCAUAGAAGCUUUUCCAUCCUUGAGCACCCCUGCAUAAAAAACAGAGAACAAGUUCUCCAAUGUUACCCUAUUUUUUUAAAAGGAAUAAAGCUCCUUUACCACGCCCCCCAGUCUCACGCCAUCUCUACUCCCCAUGAGAGCAUCUCACUCCAGAUACACCUACCACGCCUCCUACCUUCUUCACACCGAUUAGCCACCUCCCGUCCCAUUUAUUUAAAGCUUGUGAUGCAUGACAUUGGAUUUAAAAUCCAACCCACUAAAGAGUAGGUGAAAGAGUUUGAUUUAUGUUUUAACCAUUGCCAUGAUUUGAUUUGGGCCUUUUGGAAUAUCUCCUCUGCAUCUACUACACUCUGCUUAAACACCACCUCGUUCCUUUGGUCCCAUAUACUCCUCACAAUUGCUGUCCAGACCCCUUUCCAAACACCCUUUCCAAACCAAAUAUUGUUUAGAAUUAACCUGAAAUAAGUGGAAACUCUCAAAAUUGAUCUUUAUAUCAUUAUGUUUGGCAAGCACUAUACCAAACCAUCUGAAGCACAUCGACCAAACACACAGUGUAUGUUUACAUUCCAUGAAGAGAUGUUGACUGGAUUCAGCCGUGGUCUGACAAAGAGCACAUAAGGUAUUAUUCAAGAUGGUGCCUUUCCUACUCAACCUCUCUCUAGUUGGUAGACUGUCCGUCAGAGCCCUCCAUGCUGUGGUCACCAUAUUAGGGAAAGCUUUAGCCUUCCAAAGAAGUUUAAACACCUCUAGGUGUGGCCCUCUUCCUUGGUUAGCCAAGCAUGCAUAAGCGAAUUUCACUGAAAAACACCUUUCAUCUUCACUCCCCCACGUAUGGCCAUCCUUCUUUUCUCGACGCAGACUAGUUGUAGAUAAGAAAGUUAACAUCUCUUCUUCCAGCUUGGAUUCCCACUCAAAUCUAGCACGUAUCCACCUUAAGUUCCACCGCCAUACCUCAUCAUCCCAUCUACCCACCUCUUCCACCUUUUGCCCCUGGUUCGAUGACAGAGAAUACAAUCUAGGAAACAAGGUUUUAAGACUAGAAUUCCCAACCCAUAUGUCCUCCCAAAACCUUACUUUAUCUCCACGUCCUAAUUUCCACCCUACUUCUUUUUGGAACCAUCCUUCAUCUCCGCCCUCCCCACAGGCUUUAGCCAGAUCUCUCCACCACCAUGAUUGAAGUUUCACUGGUAUUCGUGAGACUUCUGAACCCAAGCCAUACUUCGAGACCACCAUUUCCUUCCAUCUCCCCUUCUCUUCGGCUAUAAGACGCCAUUUCCAUUUAGCCAGCAAAGCAGUAUUAAAGUUUUGAAUAUCUCUUAGUCCCAGACCACCUUCCUCUCUUGGUUUGCACACCACUUUCCAACUAACCCAUGAAAUGGGUUCCUUCUCCUUCCCCUAGCCCCACAAAAACCUUCUCUGGAUUCUGGUAAUACUCUUGCACACCGCAACCGGUGCUCUGAAAAGGGACAAAUAGUAGAGUGGAACAGUAGUAAGAACAAAUUUGAUUAGGCAUAUUUGAUUAGGCAUAUUCUCCCGCCAUAGAUAAAAAUCUCCCUUUCCACACAUUAAGUCUGGCUUUUAAUUUGUUUACCACCGGAUCCCAAAACUUUUUCUUCCUAGGAUUUCCUCCCACUUCCAGGCCCAAAUAUUUAAACGGAAUACCCAUCUGUGCGCAAUUCAAAGUUUUUGUGUAGCAUGCCAUAUUGUGUCUGGGAACAUUGAUACCUGCUAAUUUUGACUUAUAGAAGUUAAUCUUCUACCCUGAAGCCACCUCAAAUCCUCGGAGAAUAGCCUUUAGAGUCACCACAUUGUUGUAGGAGUCCUCGCAAAGGAACACUGUGUCAUCCGCAAACUGGAGAAUACUUAAUUCGAUCUCGUCCCUGCCAAACUUAAGGCCUGUGAGUAACCUAGCCUUCAGAGAUUGUCUUACUAUACCAGUCAAGCCUUCUGUUAUCACUAAGAAAAGAAACGGGGCUAGAGGAUCACCCUGUCGCACUCCUCUAGAGGGUUUAAAUUCCUCAGUGGGGCUUCCAUUGACAAGCACUGAGACUGUGGUGCUUUCCAUACAUCCUCGGAUCCAAGUAAUCCACUUAUUGUGAAACCCCAACCUCUGCAACAUGUCAUAGAGGAAAACCCAGCUGACUGAGUCGUAGGCUUUCUCAAAGUCUACCUUCAAACAUAGCCCACUCCUCCCGCUCCUCCUCAGAUCCUCAAUCGCUUCAUUGACCAAAAACACAUUGUCUAGAAUCCCUCUAUCCUUUAGGAACGCCGAUUGGCUUUCAUCUAUAAUGGAGGAUAGAACACUCUUUAUUCUUCCUGCUAAAACCUUGGAGAUAAUCUUAUACAUAGCCCCUACUAAAGAAAUAGGUCUAUACUAUUCUAGCGUUACAGGGUCCCUUACUUUAGGAACUAAUGCUACGAAAGAAGCAUUGCAUCCCUUUGGAAUAUGACCAGAAGCAUAAAAGGAAUCCAUAGCUCUCAUAACCUCUUUCUUUAUGACCUCCCAACUAUUCUUGAUAAAGUUAAAAUUAAAACCAUCCGGUCCUGGACUCUUCGACCCAUCACAUUGCCACACUGCUUCCUUCACUUCUUUCUCUGAGAACUCUGCCACCAAACUAUCAUUAUCUUUCUGUGUUAAUGCUUUAAACUCCACCCCUUCUAAAACAACCUCAAAGUCUCUUGAGGCUUUGAAUCUGUUUUCGAACAUCUUCUUUGCUUCAAUACGAACUGUAGGCGGUUCCUCGCACCAUUGACCCCUCACCUCCACACCUUUGAUUUCAUUUUUAAGGCGUCUCCAUCUCAGAGUUGAGUGAAAGAAUUUAGUACAUGAAUCUCCACUCUUAAACCAGUUGACUCUAGCUUUUUGGCACAGAAGGGAUUCCACUUCUUAUCAGUCUCCUUCAAUUUACUCACCAAACCAAUCCUAUGCAGCCUCUCACUUUCCAUCAAGGCACCAUUGCAGUCUUGACAAUCUAACACCUCUAUUUACUGCAAAAUAGACUUCUUAAUGUUCUCUUAUGUUACCGAAUUCAACCUUGUUCCAACCCUUUAGAUCACCCUUCAGCCUCUUCAUCUUCUCUUUUAACACCGUAAGAGCAUUCCCCUGUAUUACAUAAGAAUUCCACUUGUCCUUAACCAUUGCACCAAAACCCCUUUCCAUAAACCAGACAUCGAUGGAUCUAAAAGGUUUUGGACCCCAAUCCUUGUCCACAGACUUCACCACUAUUGCACAGUGGUCAGAAACCUCCCUACUUUGCACAUACUGCUUACACAUAGGUCAUGUUUGCAUCCAUUCUUCGGUUACCAACACUUUGUCUAGCCUGCUCUUGGCCUUCCCAUUUGAAUUAAACCAAGUAAAGGGCUUGCUCACCAAAGGUAUUUCAAACAGAAGAUUAGCUUCGAUGAAGCAAUUAAAAUCUCUCAUCUCGCUCGUAUUACUGUCCCUCAUACUAACACCUUUCCUCUUUCCAUUCUUUCUAAUGGCAUUAAAGUCACCACAGAAACACCAUACCACAUCUGAGGAGGCCUUUUUUAAAUCAGACAGCUCCUUCCACAAAACUAUCUUGUCACUUAAGGAACAGGCAGCGUAGACAUUUACCACCACACAUCUGCAGUUGAUUUUGACAUGUUUACCAUAGACAACAAUGUACCCCUUCCCCAUCACAUGUGUAUCGUAGCAAAACGCUUCUUUAUGCCACAAGGAUAACAAGCUUCCACUACCAUUAUCACCACCAUAAUGUAACCACCCCACAUUAUUAUCCCCCCAUAGAUUGAAGCAUCUUGCAUCCGUAAUGGCACUCACUUUCGUUUCUUGAAUACAGGCAAAAUUCGCACCCUCUCUUGCAAUAAUAUGUCUCAAGUACCUAGCCUUAAUGCUACCCCCCAAACCUCUUAUAUUCAAAUUUACUAUCAACAUAUAUGGUCGUUCUUGUCUCCCUCCUCAAAGUUCUUCAUAACCUCUGUAUCUCUCUCUUCCAAACAGAGGUAUUCGUUAACUACCUCCUCCUCGUCCCCCCGACAUUUAAGCCCAGAUUUCUUUCCAAUCUCCCACAGUUUAGAUGGUUCCGCCGUAAGACUAGGCCCGACAAAAAGAAAGAUUACAAUUGACCUCUCCCCCAUCAGAUACAGAGUUUGAGCACAUACCGUCUCUGUCACAUGAAGAGGAAUUGGCCUUAGCACGCCUUGAGAUAAGUCUCACUGAUCUUCUCGGAAAAGAUAUCGAAUCCCCCAAUUCAAAGAGCCCUUUCAGUUUCCGUCUAUGUGGUGGGGUGGUAGUGAUGCCUCCCACCGUUGCUCCCUCUGGUAGAUCCAAUGACAGCGUUCUUUCCUCACCCCCUACUUGAAUACGCUCGUUCACCACAUUCAAAGCUGACGAUUCACACAUCAUUGUUGGGUUUCCUGUGUCGCUUCCUUCACUCUCGUCAUAACUUUCCUCCUCCUUUUCACCGUUCGUAUUAACGUCCAAACCUUCUUCUUUCCCUUCCUCACCUUCACAGACCUUUUGCACAGGAUCUGACUCAGAACCAUCCUCUUUGGUUAAGGCUAAGGUUGAGAUCCGAUCCACUUGAGGUUGGGCCUCAAACUUUCUAACGUGGCCCAUUUUUUCGCUCACUGGGGUAUAACACUCAACAUCAAUGACCGUUUUUGCCAGCUCAUCACUUUCAACAUAGCCGUUGGAUGCGUAAUCACGAUUUUGUAUAGGGUUACAAUCUAGGUCUGCACCUUGAGCCACCCUCUGGCUUAAGCUUACUUCAUUCGUGAAAGAUCAACACCCACUCUUCUGACAUGAUAAAAGUUUUGGAUAUGAUUCCCCAAAAUGCAUUUUUUUUUUUGCCUACUCUACUUUCCGCCCUCCGCCGUCUCACCUUCCUCUUCCUCCCCUUUUGGUCGGACAACCUCCCUAACCACCGACUGGAUCUCCUCCUCACCGCUUUUGGUUGAGAAGACUGUUUCUUCUACGUAAGUGUCUGAGUUUGACCCACUAUCGGACGAUCCAAAGCCAAACUCGUUUUCCAUAUUCAUGACUCCAUAGUACACAGGGACCUCCUCUUCAAUAAGGAUAUUGCACCUUUGUUUAUUGAUUUGCAUGCUCUUCAAUGUUCCAGGGCUAUAAUUAUACCUACAUCGCACUUGUAGUUUAACGUAUUCCAGAUUCUCCCACAGCAAAGAAGAAGUGUCAAUAGAUACCAGCGUAACCGAUUCCCCCAACACUUUUGCAUAACAUUCCUUGUUCCAGAAGGGUAGAGGUAACCCAUAACAUCUUAGCCAUGUGAGUUUAUGGUCUGCCACACACGACACCAUCCACGGCUUAAUGCUUGUGAAGAAACCGUCAAACCAUUCUUUAUUAUCCUUGAUAAUAUCCCUAGCAUGCUCCCCCUCUUUCGGGGUCAAAAGAAUUAGGUUGUCUCCCAAUGAUCUUGCUCUUAAUCUACUCAGGCCUUCUUUCACUAAUUCCUCACCCAUUUGAUCGAAGUUCAUGACUUCCUUGAGUUGCCCGACAACGCUUUUUUCCAUCCAAGGGAGAAUAUGCAUUUCUACUUUUAUCGUUGUCCCCUUCCACUUCUCUUGUUGCAUUUCCCCUUUCACAGCUUCAGCGUAGGUCAUGUUCCUUUUCUUCUCCACCCAAACCUCCUUGAGCUUCACUCCUCCCCUCUUCAUUUCCAUGUGAUGAGCCCUCGGAUCCCUCCUUUCCCCCUUAUGAGUUUCCACUUGAUUCCUUCGGUAUUUCAGAAUAUUAACGUGGAGUUUCAUGUUCCCGAUAUAUAAGCUAUCCAGGUCUCUCUCCAUGCGUCCCACAUUUCUCACUUCAAAGAACCGCACAAAACCAAACCUUCUCCCACAUCUGUUUAGCCUUCUUGAGAUAAAGACUUCUUUCACCCUGGCCUGUUUUUGGAAGAUCUUAACCAUGUCCAUCUUCCCAUAUCCAUGAGUAAAAUUUGAGAAGAAAGUGGUAUAAUCGUUUGAGUACCCAUCAUUACCCCUCCUACCAUUACGUCUCUCCAUAGAUGUCCUCAGAUAGUUUUCACUUGAUUUUUCCAAGAGAUGUGUUAAAUUUGGAUUAAUUAAGAUGUUCUAUUAUUAGAAUAUUAGCAUAAAGAAGGUUGAGGAAAAAAAAUUAAGAUUAAGGACAUAAAGACCCAUUGAAAUGCAAAUGAAUUAAUUUCUUGAAAUAUGAAUAACAGAGUGAGAUUUAUAAGGACGGAAAUGGACUAACGACCAAGAGAAAACUACAACUCCAAACAAAAUUCAAAACCCAUUUCUACAUAAAACAAUUCUGGUUAAAAUAACUUAUUUAUGUUUUUUUAAAGUUGUUAGGUCCGUUUAAGUUUAUAUUUUUUUAUUAGUUGUCAUAUCACAACAAGAAAAUUAAUAAAAUAAUAAUUAAAUUUAUAGACAAAAAUUAAUUAUUCAUUAUAUUAAUCAAAUUAGAUACUAAUUUAGAGACUAAAAAAUUAUUAACAUUUAAAGUGGUUUCUAUUAUCAAUAAAAUUUUAUAAAAUAGUUUCUAAAUUGAUAUCUAAAUUAACUACCUAAGUUUUAGCUCAUAAUAUUCUAGAUUCUAAAUUUGUCUCUAAAAGACUAAUAGAGACUAAUUUAGAAUAUAAAGUAAUAAGUAACUAAAACCUUGGUAACCAGAAGUUAGAUACCAAUUUAGAAACUAUUUUAUAAAUUUUUAUUAAUAAUAGAAACUAAUUUAGAUAAAUUUUUUUUUUUUAAUUUAUAAAAUAAUCUCUAAUUUACUCGAAUAGUAACUAAUUAUUUUGAUAUCUAAAAUUAGUUUUCAUUUAAUGAUUUUUGUGUAGUGUAUGUUUAGGCAAAGGCUUUUCUUAUAUAUACACCACUUUACUUUGCCUUAUGGCACAAGUGAAAUAUAAUUCAUUCUUCUUUUCUUUUCUCUCAUAUUGUUUCUCUCUUACUCUCGCUGUUGCAACUGUUGCUUCUCGCUUUUGAUUAGGGUUGUUGCUUCUCGCUUUUGAUUAGGGUUCAUUUUGCUUUCUCUUGGUUUCUUGCAGUUCCAGAUUGGAGCAUCUAGGACGAAAUACCUACUACACCACCGAUUGUAAUGUGGUAUCAUAGCUCUUCAAAUGAAGAGCUUUGUUGCGUCUCUCUGAUUUUCUUUUCCCUUUUUAUGUUCAUAUUGUUUCUUUUUGUUUUCUUGCACAAUUUUUGACUAUCUCUUUAUCUACAAACAAUGGUUGAUUAAAACCCUACAUUGGCCUACGAUAAGUGCUAAAUUUCAGUAAUAUUUCAUAUUAAAAUAUAAGCACUUAUGAGUAUUAAUUGCUAACAUAAGUAUAAAAUAAUCUCUAAUUUAUGAAUUUAUACGUUUUUACAUAUUUUAUAAUUUUAAUUUAAAUAAGAACGAUUUAUUCUCACAUUUGUGUUAAUUUUAGGAAUCUAGGGAAUAAUGGAGAUAAUUGGGCAAAAGGAAAAUAUAUAAAGCUAAAAGGAGAAAGUUGGAAUGCAUCAACACUCACCAAAGUUUUCCAAAUUCGCAAAAAGCCAAGAUGCCAUCAGUGGAUCUCGCUCAAGCUAGUAGAAUCUCUCUUGAGCAAGAUAGUGCCAAUAAUGUUGGGCCUUUUUAUGUUUUACUCGACACAUGAACAAACACUCCAAUUAACACAUGUUUAAUAUUAAUACUCUGAGUCAUAAACUUAACAUACAAUACAAAUUCAGAUAACAAACAAACAUUCUAUACAUACUAAUGUUCUCCUUUGGGUGAUACAUUAAUACACAAAACAUAAUGAUACUUUAUAAGUGUCUAAUUUCAGUAAUAUUUCAUAUUAAAAU